rnacentral:rRNA from 1 species
AUUGAACGCUGGCGGCAUGCUUUACACAUGCAAGUCGAACGGUAACAGGCCUUCGGGUGCUGACGAGUGGCGAACGGGUGAGUAAUGCAUCGGAACGUGCCCAGAGGUGGGGGAUAACGCAGCGAAAGCUGUGCUAAUACCGCAUGUGAUCUGAGGAUGAAAGCGGGGGACCAGGCAGCAAUGUUUGGCCUCGCGCCUUUGGAGCGGCCGAUGUCAGAUUAGGUAGUUGGUGGGGUAAAGGCCUACCAAGCCGACGAUCUGUAGCUGGUCUGAGAGGACGACCAGCCACACUGGGACUGAGACACGGCCCAGACUCCUACGGGAGGCAGCAGUGGGGAAUUUUGGACAAUGGGCGCAAGCCUGAUCCAGCAAUGCCGCGUGCGGGAAGAAGGCCUCCGGGUUGUAAACCGCUUUUGUACGGAACGAAAAGGCUCUGGCUAAUACCUGGGGCUGAUGACGGUACCGUAAGAAUAAGCACCGGCUAACUACGUG